rnacentral:lncRNA from 10 species
GUUAUAGCAUCCUGAGCGGACUAUGAUGAAUAGCAUAGCCAAAUUAGGAUAACUGGAGAGGGAUGGCUUACAAGGGCAAGGGUCAGGCAUAAGGAACCACAGGAAGAGGCUCUCUAGUUCAGCAGUAAUGUCGUCGUUAGCACCCAAGGCCCAAACGAGGAAGCAGAGUCAUGCAUGAGAGUCAACUGUCAGGAAACAGUGAGCUGCAGCCCAAGGACAGGCCAGCGGGGGCUGUCGCCAGGGAGGAAGUGCAGUCCACAUGCCGUCUCUAUCCAAGCUCCAGCUCCCUCUGCCAUUCUCCUGCCUCAGAACAGGGAAAAGGUGCUCUGAAGCUGCGCUCCCUUCCACUCAGCCAGAGAAGACCAGCAGACCAGGGGCCAGAGGCAGAGAAAUGCAUGCAAGUGGCUCCUCCCUGCAAAUCAGAACAUCUGACCCUGGCCCAGCACCGGACUCCUGUCCUGGAUGUGGUCUCAACAGCACAGCCUUGGAGCAAACCCAGGGAGCUCGAAUGAGUGACGGUCCUGGUGUGGGUUCAGCCAUAACCUCCAGGACAGAUGAGAGCAGGCACUUCUAAAGGGUGGCCCUUCCGAGAGGGAAAGGCCUGGAGCCUUACGCUGGAGCAUGCUCACUCUGGGGGUCUAGCGCCGAGUCCCGGGUCCUGAGGGACACACUGUGAGCCUGGAGUUGGUGACGGCUGGGGACAUACUGUGAGCCUGGAGCUGAUGACAGCUGGAACCGGACGGUGCACUGUGAGCCUGGAGCUGGUGACGGCUGGGGACAUACUGUGAGCCUGGAGCUGGUGGCUGCUGGAGACAUACUGUGAGCCUGGAGCUGGUGACGGCUGGAACCAGACAUUGCACUGUGAGCCUGCAGCUGGUGACAGCUGGGGACAUACUGUGAGCCUGGACCUGGUGACGGCUGGAACCGGACGGUGCACUGUGAACCUGGAGCUGAUGACAGCUGGGGACAUACUGUGAGCCUGGAGCUGGUGACGGCUGGGGACAUACGAUACACUGGAUGCUCCAAGAACAACACGGGUUCUCCGUGUGACUUCACACUCCCCCAGCAUGACUCUAAGCCCAGUGUGGGACCAGCGUGAACCCAGGCGGCCUCUAGAGGGGAGGCAGGAGCCGCCCUGACCACCAAAGCCAGCGCAGGAGGGGGCUCUACAGGAUGAUGUGUUGAGUGGGCACAACUCCACAAAGGAGAGGAACCGCAGUCCGUGCCAACAGCCUUUCCCAGGAAAGACCUUCCGGGACCUGCCACCCAUCUCCUCCUUGGCAAGACCACCCCAGCCCAGGCACGGCCAACGCCCGGCCCCCGCUUGAGUUGGCCUUGAGCUCCCUCCAAAGAGGAGAUGCAGACAGCAGUGCCACCCCAGGGGGGCCGAGGGAGCAGGACUGAGAAGCUGGUUUUCCACAGGUUCUUGUCAUCCAAGGCGAGCACAAGCGGGAAAGAAUGGGGCUGGAAUGUUGGGAGAGAAGGGAGUGUGUGAUCAGCAUUGUCUGCAUAAAUGAUUCAGGCUUUUUUUAAUGAAAGAAUCUUAUUUUUGAAACUGAAGUUGACAUAAAAGCUCCCGAAGUGAAUCAGACGGUGGUGGCUUCUCCCCACCAUCCACUCGGCAGGGGACAGGGUCUCCACGGGGAGCUGGUCACCCCACGUGGACGCCGUGCCCUGCCUCCUCUGGCGAGCUUUGUGUUCACCGGGCGGAUUCUGGCAGACACCGGUCCCCCAGUUGUUGCAGCGAGACUCAGACCCAACCCCUGAACCCCAGGGAUGGCGCCUCACUGAGUCCAUUGGAUCCGCGAAGGGCAAAGGGGCAGCCGUGAAUAGGUAAAAUUCCCGUAAGCUACGGAGGUUCUGCUGGCUUUGUCUUCUCCUUUGCAAAAGCAAAGUCCUGCGGAGGCUGGGCUUCGCCUGAGCGCUCGCUAGGGUGGAGGAAGCAGCUGUGGGCCUGCAGCCAGGGCUCGCUCCAAACGCUGGAAGCUCCGCCUCCCAGAGGAGAUCAGCCCAGGAGUGGGAGUGAAGAACUUCGCUCCAUCACAAAGCUCUGAAAUACAGAUGGCUUCGGAAAACCCCGUGAGAACACCGAUUCACUCCUCCUGUGAGAUGGGACUGCGUGUCCCCAGAGGGCUGGCAACUGGCCUCCAAGUUUUCCUCUUCCUCUUUCUUCCUCCCAAGAGCCCAAUUAAGAACUUCCAGAGUUUAGAAAUGACUUGGGUUGAUUAUGUGUGCAUGACGUGACCUCACUAGACCCAGCACGAAAGGGAAGCAGGCCUGGGAGCCCUCCCCCUUGCCCUCGUCCUGGGGUCUGUGCCGCGCCUCGCCGUCCUCCCCUGGAACUCGGGGCUGGGAGAGGUCGGCGUCAGGAAGGACCUCAUGGGGCUUUCACACGAGAGCACACAUCCUCAGAGCCCCCCAGCCUCGUUCUGAAAAUGAAAGACGGAGAUAGCCUGUGCUCUGAGGGCUGCGCACCAGGCGUCGGGGUGGAGAUUGACUCCUCGAGCUCCUCGGAGCCCCAGCGGGUGCCACUGCCCGCCGGCUGAGCCCACGUCCCGAUAGGAAGCCUGGGGCGCUCGCAGGAAGGGUCACGGAUGCUGCCCGGCUCCCCACCAGCCUGCCCCUCAGGACAUCUCCUGAGGCUGCCACUGGGAAAGAACAAACUUGGGAAUCCAAGAUGGAGGGCAGCAGGACGCUCCCACAUCCCCCACUGGUCACUUUUGGAAGCCAUGCACUCGGCCCCAGGGCACUAGGCCUGAGUGCUUUAACACCCAGUUCAGGUGCCUCCCCUAAGACAGGGCUGAGGUCUGGGCAGGGAGAGGGGCUUGCAGGCCCACAGGCCCACUCAUGGCUGGCGUGGCCACCCACGGAGUCUAACUGCAAUGACUGAGAACACAGGCCUGCCCGAGGCUCCCCGGGACUCAGCCAAAGGCUCCCAGACGCCUCCCAGGUGGUUUGACUUUUGCAUCUCUGGGAAUUCUUUCAGCCUCUUCGUUUAUUCAUUUUACUUCCCCUUUACUUGAGGUGGCUUUGUUUUCUUUUCAAUGUCUAAUCUAUUUCUCUCAUAGGCGUCGUUAAUGGGCUGGGACCUGACUUCCUACUAAGUGUAAUUACCUCGUCUUUAAGUGCCCUUUUCAGUUUUUAAAUCCUGCUGCUGAAAUCCAACACUGGGGAGAUGUCGUGAAGCUUUUUUAACUCCAUCAGGCGGCCGUCGCGCUUCCCUUCACGCUUUCCUUCACCCCUCCACGGACAUCUGGCCCUCAUCCCAUCCAUGAGUGACCCACACAGCACAUUUCCAGAACUGGCAUUUGUGACAGGACACAGCAGCAAGGAGGCCUGUCCACCAGCAGCGACCGUGAGCACGGGGCCCUUGGAGAAGGAGGGAGGCAUCCGCACCAGCUGCUGUGGCAG